CACUGCGCAGGUACAUCCUGUUUGAAGCCUGUAUAAACCUAUCACAUCGACUCUCUGGUACACAGCACAGAGGUAGAAUAGAGAAAGCUAAGAAAAGCCUAAAAAUGGAAGAUAUGAAGAAGAGGAAGAUGGAGGAGGCAAGCAACGGCGCUCAAAUCUCAACAACCCAAGAGCACCUCCGUUCUCUUCUCGACCCUCUCAGCAAAUCCCAGCUCGUCGAUCUUCUCUCUAGACUAGGGUCCCAAUAUCCUUCCAUUGCAGAAGAAAUUAAAAGUGUAGCCAGUGCAGAUCCAGUACAUCGAAAGCUUUUUGUUCGUGGCUUGGCCUGGAAUACCACUUCAGAAACCUUGUGUGCUGCCUUUCGAGUGCAUGGUGAAAUAGAAGAAGGGGCUGUCAUUUAUGACAAAGCAACAGGAAAAUCUCGCGGCUAUGGUUUCAUUACUUACAAACAUAUGGAAUCAACACAAAGUGCACUGGCAGCACCUAGCAAAUUGAUUGAUGGUCGGAUGUCUGUCUGUAAUUUAGCAUGUGAAGGAUUAAGCGGGGCAAGUACUACACCAGAUUCAGCCCAGAGAAAACUCUAUAUUGGGGGUUUGUCACCAGAGAUCUCAAGUGAGAUGCUGCUCAACUUUUUUGGAAGGCAUGGUGAGAUUGAAGAAGGUUC
rnacentral:misc_RNA from 1 species